GUCAACCAUUUUCUUUUUCUUUUCAAUUAAUAAUGACCAAUCUAUUGUAACUUGUACUGUUUUCACGCCAUGCUUCUGAAGCUCUCGUCGUUCUGCACCAUCAAAAUCACAUAACAAAGUUAAAAAUAUCCUCAAGCUAUACGAAACUCGCGACGCGAUCAUUUCCUAAUUACAGAAGUGCAUUUAAAGAGGCAUCAUGGAUCAAAUUCAUCAUUAGCUAAUUUAAGUAAACUCUUAUCUUUAUUUAACAUUAUAUUUUAUCCACUAGUAUAUAAGUCACUUUCUGUUCUACAAACACUAGAUACAAAAUGGGAAACCAAAUAACUUACAAUAAAGUUAUCAUCACCUUCAUCUUCUUCAUUUCAUUGCUUGUCCUCCACACUGAGUCAAUUCGGCCUCCAUUUUCAUGUGACUCGUCUAACAAAGUUACAUCUUCAUUUCCCUUCUGCAAUGCUGCAUUACCAA
rnacentral:lncRNA from 1 species